rnacentral:rRNA from 1 species
GUCAGUCUGGUUCCAGAGGCCGGGUGAAGACGAGGGGGCUGAGGGUGAGUGGGAUGGACUAGGGGUCAUGGGUGCGUAGGGGGGUGGGGAAGUCGGUUGUGAAAUCUGGUAGCUCAACGCCGAAAUGGCAUUGGAAACUACGUUGGUGGAGGGUUGGAGGGGGGACUGGAAUACUUGGUGUAGCAGUGAAAUGCGUAGAUAUCAAGUGGAGAACCAGUGGCGAAGGCGAGUCCCUGGACAACUCCUGACACUGAGGCACGAAAGCUAGGGGAGCAAACAGGAUUAGAUACCCGGGUAGUC